rnacentral:lncRNA from 1 species
CCACAACUACUGUUUCAUCAUGGCUGCAGGUUUCCCUGGGCUUCUACCUGGCUCUGGGGCUCUGAACAACCCUUAGUCUCCAAGAUUCUAUCUCCUGCUAAGCCUGGUGGUUUUUCGUAUUAGCAAAUGUUUACCAUUUCGCAAGGGCCUGAGGGCCUAAGAGAUUUCUGGACAAAAUUCUUGAGCCACAGGCCAAGACGUAAAUUGUGUUUGGGUAUGUGUGGGGGAGCAGGGGUGGGAGAGUCAGGCAGAGAGGAGAGGUGGGGGCAGAAGGUUCUAGGCCAGGAAGACUUGAAGAUUCAGGAUUCCAGGGAGCACACCUGUAGCAUUGUGAACUAGCAUUUUUUUCCCACCUGUAUACAGAGCUAAUUCUACACAAGAAUGAUCCCCAGCCUUAAUGCAUGGGAAAAGUUUCCCAUACACCCAGAUGCUCAAAGCAGUUGAGGCUUGUGCAAGGAACUACAAGCCAGCACAGGCACAGGCUGCCCUCCGGGAAGACGAAAGCCCUCCCCAGAUCUGACAUUCAGUCCAGAGGUUUCUACAAGUUCCUUUAUUAAUAAAGCAAAAUAGAAAAGAACAAGGUCCCCAAAUGACCCACAUGAUUCAAAGUGCAAAUUUACUCCAACCUGCAAGAGAAAACGAAUGGCAGGUCUUGACUGUGGGGGCCAUGGAAAUUUGGGGUGAUUAAAUUGCCUUUGAAUCAUACAAUUGUAGCAGCUGAACCAUAUCUGAUUAACUCUUUGGUCUCUGUUAUUGGAACAAAACCGACGCUAUGCCUGCAGCCGCCAGACUGCAACCAAAAACACAGUUUGGGGUCAGAAGACAUUAAAAAUCACAAUAAAAUAGGAUGAAUGUUCUAAGUCACGCAACUGAAUCAAGGCACCUUUUUUUUUCAAAAGCAAAAAGUUGUUUAACAAUAUUCCAGAAUAGUAGAUACUUCAAAAACCAGAUUACAGUAUAUAUCAUUUUGCUGCACAUUUUAGUCUAUUUUCUGUAUACAUAGUCACACAUUCUUUACCCUCUCCCAACUUAUACAUGCUUUAUCCCCCCAGUCAUGUGCUAUGUAGGUAUAAAAAAAUAAAGUUGUAUCUAAACAAGUGAUUUAAAAAAAAAAAAACUAACGAAUGCCACGAUGAUAACACUGAACUUGUUUCCCUCUUGAAGGACAUUGGAAAUGUUACCGAGGUUCAUUUUCCCCACCACUGAAUCAUCUUCCUCCAUGUAGACAGGGAUGAGAAGUCAAAGUCUUCAUCAAGGUCAAAAGCCACAUGUUACAGAAAAAGUGACUUACUCCAUAGAGGUUACAUGAGAUGCUCUGGAAGCACUUAGGUUAAUUCCUUCACAGUGUUUGCUAGGAUGUCAAUUUUGGUGGAGCUGCUGAGUCAGAAAAUGAUAGAGGCCGGCCGCGGUGGCUCACUCACACCUGUAAUCCCUGCACUUUGGGAGGCCGAGGCAGGAGGAUCGCUUGAGCCCAGGAGGUCAAGGCUGCAAUGAGCUGCAAUCUUGCCACUGCACUCCAGCCUGGGCAACAGACUGAGACCCUGUCUCAAAAAACAAAAACAAAAACCUGUGUUCUUGGUAGUUGAAAUGGUAUGAGCCUAAGAAGCUUGCACCCCAAAUCUAGCCACCAAUCAUCCCUGUAAAGGCACGAGCUAGGAUACCACUAACCCCC